rnacentral:rRNA from 1 species
UACGGAGGAUCCAAGCGUUAUCCGGAUUGACUGGGUUUAAAGGGUGCGUAGGUGGAAUGACAAGUCAGUGGUGAAAACCUGCAGCUUAACUGUAGAACUGCCAUUGAUACUGUUGUUCUUGAGUACAUUUGAUGUGAGCGGAAUGUGUCGUGUAGCGGUGAAAUGCUUAGAUAUGACACAGAACACCAAUUGCGAAGGCAGCUCACAAAACUGUAACUGACACUGAGGCACGAAAGCGUGGGGAUCAAACAGG